GCUGCCGUGGAGCUGAAAUAGAGCUGUGUCUGAUUCAGCUUCGUAUGUCUAAUCGUUCCCAGCACAGUGACUGAGCAGCUCAUUUACUGAGAUGAGAUCAAAUGCGGAAGUGCAUUGUGGUUGCAGAGAGGUGGAGACGCCGCCCAUCCUUGAACACAUCAUGUGUCCUCCUCAUUUGAUAAUAGACAGCUUAAUGGAAUCAGAGGAGGAACAUCGACUCUUUAAAAACUGACUCCAGUGUGAGAGAAAACGCUGGCCAUACAGCCUCAUGCAAACCAUGAGCCUGAGAGAGAAGAAAGGAUCUGAGAAAGAGGAAAAAGACUCUUUAUAGAGUUACGUUUCCAGCUAUGUCGCUUUAAAAUGUGUAAAUAAAACACAUUUGGUCUCGCGUGCUGGUUGUGUCUCUGAGCUGUUCGUUUGGUCUCCCAGGCAGUGUGCGUCAGCACCUCUCCUGGCCAUGCCACAGUAUCUAUAAUCAUUCUUACAGAUAUUUUAUUACCAGGAGACACUAUUUCUUUGUCAGAUUAAAUCAACUAAUUCAAACUAAUUCAACAAGUUGUCUUACUUUUUUAACUUGCUUGGUCUUUCAGAAUGUUAAUGAAAUUAUAGCCUGUUUAGGACGACAUUUAGCUAUGAUUUAUAAAAGUAAGUAAAACCUGUUUCAUUGAAAAGACAAACACAAACUUCAGCAGCACAGAAUUUUAUUUGUGGAAGUGAAGGUUGCAUAUUUAUUAAAAUGACUUCUACAGUUUGCUCCAGUAGUUACACGUAACAGCUCCAUAUGAUACAUCUUUAAAUCUAAGUUGUUCAAA